CCUACGGGAGGCAGCAGUGGGGAAUAUUGGGCAAUGGAGGAAACUCUGACCCAGCAACGCCGCGUGAAGGAUGAAGGUUUUCGGAUUGUAAACUUCUGUCGCGAGGGAUGAAGAAUGACGGUACCUCGUAAGAAAGCCCCGGCAAACUACGUGCCAGCAGCCGCGGUAAUACGUAGGGGGCGAGCGUUGUCCGGAAUGACUGGGCGUAAAGGGAGUGUAGGCGGCAUAUUAAGUUAUGUGUGAAAGCCCGCGGCUCAACCGCGGAAUUGCACAAAAAACUGGUAAGCGGGAGUGCAGGAGAGGAAAGGGGAAUUCCGGGUGGAGGGGUGGAAUGCGGAGAUAUGGGGAGGAACACCAGGGGCGAAGGCGACUUACUGGACUUUAACGGACGCGGAGGCUGGAAAGGGUGGGGAGCAAACAGGAUUAGAUACCCGGGGAGUC
rnacentral:rRNA from 1 species